rnacentral:rRNA from 1 species
ACGGGGCCCGCACAAGCGGUGGAGCAUGUGGUUUAAUUUCGAUGAUACGCGAAAAACCUUACCCCGGGCUUGACAUGCAUCAGACAGGCGUAGAGAUACGCCCUCCGCGAGGCUGGUGCACAGGUGCUGCAUGGUUGUCGUCAGCUCGUGUCGUGAGAUGUUGGGUUAAGUCCCGCAACGAGCGCAACCCCUACCGUGUGUUACCAUCAUUAAGUUGGGGACUCGCACGGAACUGCCGGUGAUAAACCGGAGGAAGGUGGGGAUGACGUCAAAUCCUCAUGGCCUUUAUGGGUAGGGCUUCACACGUAAUACAAUGGUCGGUACAGAGGGUUGCCAACCCGCGAGGGGGAGCCAAUCCCAGAAAACCGAUCGUAGUCCGGAUUGCAGUCUGCAACUCGACUGCAUGAAGUCGGAAUCGCUAGUAAUCGCGGAUCAGCAUGUCGCGGUGAAUACGUUCCCGGGCCUU